rnacentral:rRNA from 1 species
GUGGCAGCAGCCUUUGGUAAUACGAAGGGACCUAGCGUAGUUCGGAAUUACUGGGCUUAAAGAGCACGUAGGUGGUUAAGAAAGUNGGUGGUGAAAUCCCAAGGCUUAACCUUGGAACUGCCACCAAAACUUUUUAACUAGAGUAUGAUUGAGGUAAGCGGAAUUUCUAGUGUAGAGGUGAAAUUCGUAGAUAUUAGAAAGAACACCAAUUGCGAAGGCAGCUUUCUGGAUCAUUACUGACACUGAGGUGCGAAAGCAUGGGUAGCGAAGAGGAUUAGAUACCCUCGUAGUCCAUGCCGUAAACGAUGUGUGCUAGACGUUGGGAAUUUAUUUUUCAGUGUCGCAGCAAAAGCGUUAAGCACACCGCCUGGGGAGUACGACCGCAAGGUUAAAACUCAAAUGAAUUGACGGGGACCCGCACAAAUAGUGGAGCAUGUGGUUUAAUUCGAAGAUACGCGCAGAACCUUACCAACACUUGACAUGUUCGUCGCGACUCUAAGAGAUUAGAGUUUUCGGUUCGGCCGGACGAAACACAGGUGCUGCAUGGCUGUCGUCAGCUCGUGUCGUGAGAUGUUGGGUUAAGUCCCGCAACGAGCGCAACCCUUACUUUUAGUUGCUACCAUUUAGUUGGGCACUCUAGAAGAACUGCCGGUGAUAAGCUGGAGGAAGGUGGGGAUGACGUCAAGUCCUCAUGGCCCUUAUGUGUUGGGCUACACACGUGCUACAAUGGUAUUUACAGUGGGAUGCAAAGAGGCAACUCCAAGCCAACCCUCAAANGAUACCUCAGUUCGGAUUGUACUCUGCAACUCGGGUACAUGAAGCUGGAAUUACUAGUAAUCGCAGAUCAGCGCGCUGCGGUGAAUACGUUCCCGGGUCUUGCACACACCGCCCGUC